GACGAACGCUGGCGGCGUGCCUAAUACAUGCAAGUUGAGCGAUGAAGAUUGGUGCUUGCACCAAUUUGAAGAGCAGCGAACGGGUGAGUAACGCGUGGGGAAUCUGCCUUUGAGCGGGGGACAACAUUUGGAAACGAAUGCUAAUACCGCAUAACAACUUUAAACAUAAGUUUUAAGUUUGAAAGAUGCAAUUGCAUCACUCAAAGAUGAUCCCGCGUUGUAUUAGCUAGUUGGUGAGGUAAAGGCUCACCAAGGCGAUGAUACAUAGCCGACCUGAGAGGGUGAUCGGCCACAUUGGGACUGAGACACGGCCCAAACUCCUACGGGAGGCAGCAGUAGGGAAUCUUCGGCAAUGGACGAAAGUCUGACCGAGCAACGCCGCGGGAGUGAAGAAGGGUUUCGGAUCGUAAAACUCUGUUGGUAGAGAAGAACGUUGGUGAGAGUGGAAAGCUCAUCAAGUGACGGUAACUACCCAGAAAGGGACGGCUAACUACGUG
rnacentral:rRNA from 1 species